CCCCUAAGAACACUACACCGGGAUCUGUUGCUACCAUGUGGCUACCUACCUGUGGAGGAAAGCAGUGAGCAUGUACAGAAGCCAGUGUCACGCAGGCCAAGAACCCGUGCAAAUCCAGCGCUAGAGGAAGAGAACUCCUCAGACGAAGAAGAUGAUUUGCUCAUUCCUGUUUGGUUGAGUUCCCCUGUCCACACAGUGAGUGAGAGUCCUGUAAAUGUUCCUGAUAUUGACAACCCACCUGUUUUUGACAGCCAAUCUGAUUUUGGCAACAUACCUGAUAUGCCUAACAGUACUACAGAUGAUACUGAAUACUUAUCUACCAAUGGAGUCACACCGACCGAACAAGUGGAUGAAAUAACCUUAACUGAAACUGACUCACCUGUUGAUGACCCAGACGUCCAAGAAAGGCAACUUCCAUUUCAGGAGGCUGGCACCAGAGGUGCGAAUUCUGAGGAGAGAGUGGAGGAGAUAGUCCCAGUGGAUACAAGGGAAAACAUGGAUACAAAUGAUUCUGUAAGGAGAUCUGAGAGAAACCGUCGUCCGCCACGACGGCUUGACUAUACGGAGCUAGGCAAUCCUCUGAUCACUGCAGCAAAAUCAUUCUUGCAAGGACUGUCUUCAGCUUGGGCCGAUGUCAUCAGUGAUGGUGAAGAGCCUGCUUCGCCCUCUUCCUUGACCCGUCAAAUAAUCAUCAUUUAACUGUCUACCAUGCACAGGGACGUGCAUGAGUUCAGGAGGGGAGGGUGUAGCCCAGAUGAAAAAUAUCAUACUUAUUCUCUUUAUAUUAACUGUCCACAUCAACAAGCGUCAUAUUUCCUAUGACCAUUGAAUGCACCUCUCAGUUCACCCCACGUGAGGGCACCUAGCUCAGCAACCAAUCAGAGCCUACCCAGGCCGCAUUGACCCUGUCAGCCAGGAAGUGAAGUGGAGGUGCAUGGUGCUCCCGGGUUUUUUCUCAUCUCAGCAAGAGGAGUGGAGGCAUCUACUACUCAAACCGAGAAAUCCACGGACAAAAGAGAGGAAAACUCAGGAUUGAGAGGAAGGAAAGCCAGCGUACUUACCUGCUGGAAGUCCGGAGUCGAGUGGCUGGAUGAAGGAGAGAGGCAACGUCGGCUAACCACUCACCUUUCAUCCGGAGAGCUGCUGCAAUUCCAACGCCAGUGUGUGUUGGGCUUUUGUGAAACAGAGCAACGGUGAGCAACAUGUUCUUAGCUGCUCUAAAGCUAAAUUUUGUCAGUUCACUGUGAGUUUAAAGUAAUCUAGAGGGUAAUUUUUAGUGCAUUUCUCUCUCACGAAUAGGCCUAUAGCGUGGAGAAAUUAAGCACACUGCUUUAAUGCCUCUGAACUGAACUCAUAUGUAUAUUUUGUUGCUUAUUUGCACAUAGUUCUGAAUUUGUUAUGGUGUAUUGUAUUUUGAGUGUCAAUGGUUACUUACCAUAAGUAUUGUUUAAUUAAUGUUUACAUGAAUAGAGAAAUAUUUGAGCAACUUAGAUGUUUAGUUCUCAUAUUUGAUAUGCUUGAAAAUUGAAUGUUGUACAACAGAACUGUGAGAUUUGAUAAGAUUUAAGAUGUUGAUGCAAUGAAUAUGAGGUGAUGCAAUAUUUUGAUUUUGUAUUUUAACCUUAAACAAUGCAUCUGAAACAGACUGAUUAGAAUGUACAUUUUAUGACCUGGAUUAUAGGUCAGGUUUUUUGGAGAGGACGGAAAAGUCCAAGGACCAGGACGAUAUUCUGGUUGUGAUAGAUGGCGAGCCAACCACUUUGAGGACGAUCUACCCCAAAGAAGAUACACACCACACACUCAUACAUUCCAGUUACAUUCACAAGGACCUUUGAAGUUGGCUAUCGCCAGCUUAACUCUAAAUUCUUAAAGGGCCCCAACGAGUACUUUUAUUUUGUUGAGUGUGCACACUAUUUAUUUUAUUUUAUACUUUAUCUGUACAAAUUGGACAAAUACCUGUUAUACUUUGUAACAAUACAAGAGUGGCUACUCAAAAGUUAA